UACAGAGGUCUCAAGCGUUGUUCGGAUUCAUUGGGCGUAAAGGGUGCGUAGGCGGCGCGGAAAGUCGGGUGUGAAAUUUCGGAGCUUAACUCCGAAACUGCAUUCGAUACUCCCGUGCUUGAGGACUGGAGAGGAGACCGGAAUUUACGGUGUAGCAGUGAAAUGCGUAGAGAUCGUAAGGAAGACCAGUGGCGAAGGCGGGUCUCUGGACAGUUCCUGACGCUGAGGCACGAAGGCCAGGGGAGCAAAC
rnacentral:rRNA from 1 species